rnacentral:rRNA from 1 species
AUGAAGCUGGAAUUGCUAGUAAUGGCAGGUCAGCAUACUGCCGUGAAUACGUUCCCGGGCCUUGUACACACCGCCCGUCACACCAUGAGAGUUGGGAAUACCCGAAGCCUGUGAGCUAACUUUUUAAGAGGCAGCAGUCGAAGGUAGAAUCAAUGAUUGGGGUGAAGUCGUAACAAGGUACC